rfam:Chlamydomonas reinhardtii strain CC-503 cw92 mt+ CHLREscaffold_769 genomic scaffold, whole genome shotgun sequence.
UUCGCUAUAGUCUAGGCGGUCAGGAUACAGGAUUCUCAUCGUGCCCUCUUGGGAACGGUGGAAAGCUCCUGAGACCCGGGUUCGAGUCCCGGUAGCGAAA